UACAGAGGUCUCAAGCGUUGUUCGGAUUCAUUGGGCGUAAAGGGUGUGUAGGUGGCGCGCUAAGUCGGGUGUGAAAUUUCGGAGCUUAACUCCGAAACUGCAUUCGAUACUGGCGUGCUUGAGGACUGGAGAGGAGACUGGAAUUCAUGGUGUAGCGGUGAAAUGCGCAGAUAUCAGGAAGAACACCCGUGGCUAAGGCGGCUCUCUAGUACGGUACUGACGCUGAGACGCGAAAGCGUGGGGAGCGAACAGG
rnacentral:rRNA from 1 species